AUGUUCAAGAACGUGCCCAGCGGCGACGCCAUCGUCCUAAAGUGGAUCCUCCAUAACUGGCCCGACGAACACUGCACAACUCUACUAAAGAACUGCUACGGUGCACUUCCCGCGCACGGCAGGGUUGUCGUCGUAGAAGGCAUCCUGCCGGUCAAACCGGAGGCGACGUCCAGGGGGCAGCAGGCGUCCCUCACCGACAUGAUCAUGCUCACGCACACGGCAGGCGGCAAGGAGAGGAACCAGAGGGAGUUCGAGGAGCUUGCCAAGUCCGCAGGGUUCACCGGUGUCAUGACUGCCUACAUCCACAGCAACACCUGGGUCAUUGAAUUCACCAAAUAG
rnacentral:rRNA from 1 species